CCCUUAGAUGUUCUGGGCCGCACGCGCGCUACCCUGAUGCAUUCAACGAGUCUAAAACCUGCUCUGAUAGGGGUGGGUAAUCUUUUGAAUGUGCAUCGUGAUUGGGAUAGAUGAUUGCAAUUUUUCAUCUUCAACGAGGAAUGCCUAGUAAACGCAAGUCAUCAGCUUGCAUUGAUUACGUCCCUGCCCUUUGUACACACCGCCCGUCGCUCCUACCGAUUGAAUGAUCCGAUGAAUAUCAUGGAUUGAGGAUGCAAGCAGGUUCGCCUGUCUUCAUCUUCGAGAAGUGAAGUAAAUCUUAUCAUUUAGAGGAAGGAGAAGUCGUAACA
rnacentral:rRNA from 1 species